CGGGAGGGGAGAGUGGGCGCCAUCUUGUUCGGGCUCACUGAGGGUUCUGCCUGUUCAGUGGAGGCUGCUGCGAAGAGUGCCCCAGCCCCUGGCCUGUGUGUCCGAGUCGGAGCAGUGCCUCCUUGUGGCGGUGUGUGUGCGCUUCCCAGUGAUCUUGACACUGAAGAUCGCGAAGGAUCUCAUAGUUAAGUUGCUUUUACAGAAUUAACAGGUCUCCAAGAAAUAAAAAGAACAGGUCAUUAU
rnacentral:lncRNA from 1 species